rnacentral:rRNA from 1 species
GAACGCUAGCGUACAGGCUAACACAUGCAAGUCGAGGGGCAGCAUGAAGUUGCUGCAAACUUGAUGGCGACCGGCGCACGGGUGAGUAACGCGUAUCCAACCUGGCCCGCAGUAGGGAACAGCCCGGCGAAAGUACGGAUUAAUGCCCUAUGUCUUCCUUUGCAGGCAUCCAAUGAGGAAGAAAGAUUUAUCGCUGCGGGAUGGGGAUGCGUCUGAUUAGCUUGUCGGCGGGGUAACGGCCCACCGAGGCGACGAUCAGUAGGGGUUCUGGAGAGGAAGGUCCCCCACACCUGGUACUGAGACACGGACCAGACUCCUACGGGAGGCAGCAGUGAGGAAUAUUGGUCAAUGGGCGAGAGCCUGAACCAGCCAAGUAGCGUGCAGGGAACCGACUGCCCUAUGGGUUGUAAACUGCUUUUAUGCGGGGAUAAACUUCAGCACGUGUGCUGUUUUGCAGGUACCGCACGAAUAAGGACCGGCUAAUUCCGUGCCAGCCGCAGC